GGCGAGAUGGCCGAGUUGGUCUAAGGCGUGAGACUAGGGUUUUCGGGGGCGCGGGUUCAAAUCCCACUCUUGUCA
rnacentral:tRNA from 1 species